rnacentral:lncRNA from 7 species
AAUGAUGCGCUGGAAAGUGAAACUACUAUGUUGAAGAAUAUUCAGCUUGCUAGAACACUACAAGUUUUCCCUGUAUAUGUUUACUGUAUAUUUUCAGCAACUAUGAAAGCCGCAAAAAAUCCACAUAUUACCUCAGAAGUAAUCUCAGUAUUUUAAUUCCCCUGUGGAUGCAGAUGCCUGAGGCUCAGCCCUGAAGCAGACACGUAAGCUCCCGAGGUUGUUCAAGCAUCUUGCACAGUCUACAAAGAACUAUGCGUAUUUCUUGAGUCCUAUGGGGAAUGUUUUUGGAGAUCCCUGUCUACCCUUGCUGACAUCACAGGAGCUUAAGCAAUAGUUCCAGGAAGCAUUUGUAAGUAACUGAAGUUUUCAGUUUAUUCUGGUACUUACUACAUUGAGAGACACAGUAUAUACGUAGUAGCUCAGUCCAAGGUUCCUUUCAGCGCAAGCCUGCUGGGCUCCACUAAAGUAAGCCCAAAUGGAGAGUUUCCUUGAUGUUUGUUCCUGAAAGGCAGUGUGCAUGAAGACCAUUCCAAAUUAUGUUCCCUCUGUUUAAAAUCCCUUCAGAUUUUGCUUGUAUUCACUACUCCCUUUCUUACUCUCUCGUGUCUUCAUUUCUUUUGCUUUCUAUUUUUUUAUUUUAUUUUUUAAUAUACAUUUUCAAAGUCUUCUUGCCUCAAUGGAAUUUUACUAUAACUCAUUCAGACUAUGUAUUUUUUUUUUGUUGUUCUUUUUAUACCUUUUUGAUCUGACCAUACUAUUAAAGCAUACAAAGUACUAAUUCCUACCAAUUCUCUACCAGUUAAUACUGUAUUAUUUUCUUCUCAGUUGCUGAUUUCAUCUUUUAUUCUCUAUCCACGGUGAAAAGGGUAGACUAAUUAGAUUUUAAAUGCCAUGGUGUAGUUCUAAAUAAAGGAUUAUUCAUUAAAAAUUAACCUUUUAUUAUGACAAUUCUUGAUAUAAUAGGGCACACAUUGACUGUAAGCUAAUUUAUACAUUUAAAUUCUAUCUCCAUAAGAAAAAUUAGACAGUUAUAUAAUAUAGGAGGAUAAAUGAAACAUGGAAGUGUUACUGUAAAGCAAUUGUAGUAGAAUGACAAUUGCUUGAAAAAGUAAUAAUUGUUUCAUAGUGCUACAUGUUAUGUAGUGUACAUGUAUGUAGUAUAAAAACUGAAUUUAAAACAGUGUUAAUGAGUUUUUCAAUUUUUUUUUUUUCUGUGUGUGUGCUGUGUCUCCUGACAAGUUGCAUUGGACACACAUCACAUAACAGUUUUAUUUUCAACUUUUUAUCAUUAGCAUAACAAGAAUUUAGCUUUCCAGGACGCUAUACAGGGAAAUGUGAUUUUCUCAAGGUCUUUAACAGUCCUUUUAUUAUUAUGAUGAUUAAUACCCUACUUUUGAAAUUUCCUUUAUGCUAUUAUUCAAACUUUAGGAAUAAUGUCAUGUAGUCCUGGAGAGGAGUCAUCCUGUUUUGUUAACUCACUAAUUCCUGUGUCAUCCAUUUGAAUGCGUGCCCAGCGUAUCAUUUUUUUCUAAUGUACUUAGUAAUGGGUAAAAUAGUGGUAGUAAUAAAACCUAUUGCUUCAGCUAUGUUACUACAUUAAAACGUUAUUUUAC